rnacentral:rRNA from 1 species
UACGGAGGUGGCAAGCGUUACUCGGAAUUAUUGGGUGUAAAGGGCAAGUAGGCGGCGUAGUAAGUGGGGGGUGAAAUACUCUUGCUCAACAAGAGAACUGCCUUCCAAACUACUAUGCUUGAGUAUAUCAGGGGGAAAUGGAAUUCUAGGUGUAAGGGUGAAAUCUGUAGAUAUCUAGAAGAACACCAGCGGCGAAGGCGAUUUCCUGGGAUAUUACUGACGCUAAAUUGCGAAAGCUAGGGGAGCAAACAGA